CCUACGGGAGGCAGCAGUGGGGAAUAUUGGGCAAUGGAGGAAACUCUGACCCAGCGACGCCGCGUGAGGGAUGAAGGCCUUCGGGUUGUAAACCUCUUUCAGUAGGGAAGAAGCGAAAGUGACGGUACCUACAGAAGAAGCACCGGCUAACUAUGUGCCAGCAGCCGCGGUAAUACAUAGGGUGCAAGCGUUGUCCGGAAUUAUUGGGCGUAAAGAGCUCGUAGGUGGUUCGAUACGUCGGAUGUGAAAAUCAGGGGCUCAACCCCUGACCUGCAUCCGAUACGGUCGAGCUAGAGUUUGGUAGGGGAGACUGGAAUUCCUGGUGUAGCGGUGGAAUGCGCAGAUAUCAGGAGGAACACCGAUGGCGAAGGCAGGUCUCUGGGCCAAUACUGACACUGAGGAGCGAAAGCGUGGGGAGCGAACAGGAUUAGAUACCCUGGUAGUCCACGCCGUAAACGGUGGGCGCUAGUUGUGCGAACCUUCCACGGUUUGUGCGACGCAGCUAACGCAUUAAGCGCCCCGCCUGGGGAGUACGAUCGCAAGAUUAAAACUCAAAGGAAUUGAGG
rnacentral:rRNA from 1 species